UAGUCUACGCCGUAAACGAUGGUUACUAGCUGUUUGGAAUUUAUUCUGAGUGGCUAAGCGAAAGUGAUAAGUAACCCACCUGGGGAGUACGUUCGCAAGAAUGAAACUCAAAGGAAUUGACGGGGGCCCGCACAAGCGGUGGAGCAUGUGGUUUAAUUCGAUGAUACGCGAGGAACCUUACCAGGGCUUAAAUGUAGAUUGACAGGUUUAGAGAUAGACUUUUCUUCGGACAAUUUACAAGGUGCUGCAUGGUUGUCGUCAGCUCGUGCCGUGAGGUGUCAGGUUAAGUCCUAUAACGAGCGCAACCCCUGUUGUUAGUUGCCAUCAGGUUAUGCUGGGGACUCUAGGAAGACUGCCUGCGUAAGCAGUGAGGAAGGUGGGGAUGACGUCAAAUCAUCAUGGCCCUUAGCCCAGGGCGACACACGUGCUACAAUGGUUGGUACAGAGGGUAGCGACCUAGUAAUAGUGAGCCAGCAUGACGCGGUGAAUACGUUCCCGGGCCUUGUACACACCGCCCG
rnacentral:rRNA from 1 species